rnacentral:rRNA from 1 species
CUUUUGUCCACUCCGAGAGGAGGAGGAGCGGCGGCGGCGGGCGCAAAGAGCCCCCACGGGCGCGGGAACCGUCCCGGUCCGUGACCCUCGGGCGCCCCCCCACCUACGACCCUUCGCGACGCGCCCCCCUUUCCGCGGGGGGGGGAGGCGCCGGGGAGGGCCGGAGGGGGGGAAAGCGCCCGAGGGAGGGCGACGGGGCUCCGCGCGACCCCCGCCUCGACCUCCCCCGCGCCGGCGGGGUCCGAAGGCGUCUUCGGGCCCCGGCGUGCGCCUCUCCUCCCCCCU